UACGGGGGGGGCAAGCGUUGUUCGGAAUUACUGGGCGUAAAGGGCGUGCAGGCGGUCUGUUAAGUGCAGGGUGAAAGCUCCCGGCUCAACUGGGAGAGGUCCUUGCAUACUGGCGGACUUGAGGGGGGUAGAGGAAAGUGGAAUUCCCGGUGUAGUGGUGAUAUGCGUAGAUAUCGGGAGGAACACCUGUGGCGAAGGCGGCUUUCUGGGCCCUACCUGACGCUGAGGCGCGAAAGCUAGGGGAGCAAACAGG
rnacentral:rRNA from 1 species